rnacentral:rRNA from 1 species
AUUGAACGCUGCGGCAUGCCUUACACAUGCAAGUCGAACGGUAACAGGUCUUCGGAUGCUGACGAGUGGCGAACGGGUGAGUAAUACAUCGGAACGUGCCCGAUCGUGGGGGAUAACGAAGCGAAAGCUUUGCUAAUACCGCAUAAGAUCUACGGAUGAAAGCAGGGGACCGCAAGGCCUUGCGCGAACGGAGCGGCCGAUGGCAGAUUAGGUAGUUGGUGGGAUAAAAGCUUACCAAGCCGACGAUCUGUAGCUGGUCUGAGAGGACGACCAGCCACACUGGGACUGAGACUCGGCCCAGACUCCUACGGGAGGCAGCAGUGGGGAAUUUUGGACAAUGGGCGAAAGCCUGAUCCAGCCAUGCCGCGUGCAGGAUGAAGGCCUUCGGGUUGUAAACUGCUUUUGUACGGAACGAAAAGACUCUGGUUAAUACCUGGGGUCCAUGACGGUACCGUAAGAAUAAGCACCGGCUAACUACGUG